rnacentral:rRNA from 1 species
UACGUAGGGUGUGAGCGUUAAUCGGAAUUACUGGGCGUAAAGCGUGCGCAGGCGGUUUUGUAAGCCAGAUGUGAAAUCCCCGGGCUUAACCUGGGAAUGGCAUUUGGGACUGCAAGGCUCGAGUGCGGCAGAGGAGACUGGAAUUCCUGGUGUAGCAGUGAAAUGCGCAGAUAUCAGGAGGAACACCGAUGGCGAAGGCAGGUCUCUGGGCAUUAACUGACGCUGAGGAGCGAAAGCAUGGGGAGCGAACAGG